UACGUAGGUGGCAAGCGUUAUCCGGAAUUAUUGGGCGUAAAGCGCGCGCAGGUGGUUUCUUAAGUCUGAUGUGAAAGCCCACGGCUCAACCGUGGAGGGUCAUUGGAAACUGGGAGACUUGAGUGCAGAAGAGGAAAGUGGAAUUCCAUGUGUAGCGGUGAAAUGCGUAGAUAUCUGGAGGAACACCGGUGGCGAAGGCGGCAUCCUGGACCGACACUGACGCUGAGGAGCGAAAGCCAGGGGAGCAAACGGG
rnacentral:rRNA from 1 species